AAUCGCGAGCGUGGCCGCGUGAGCGCGCGGAGGUGCCCUCGGAGGGGUGGGAGCCGCGGCCAACUUCGCUCCGUCCCUCUCCCCGCAGCGCUGCGAUGCGGAGCGCCACUCGGGCAUGAGCCGCCCCGCCGGGCCCUGCUCGGCCGAGACAGCGUCGGGAAGAAAGGGCCACGGAGGAAGCUCCGCGCUGCUCGGCUCGGAACCGCGGGCUGCCCACGCUCUUAUCUUUUGGACCUCUGAGGACUUUGUGAAAGCUUCCAGAUUGGUUUGCUCGAGCGUUUGCUGGGCUUCUCGGAGCACGACGCAGAUGCUAUCUCUCCUUACGACGAGGAGGAGGUAGUUUUUCUUUUUUUUCGGUCUUUGCUUUAAGACAGGACUGGGCGUUUUCAGCUCAUGUGCGUGGGAUUGUUGGGGAUUAGAAAGCAAACUCGCAACUUAUUUUUUAUUCCUAACGGCUCAAAAACUCUGGAAACAGUGCUCAGAGAGCCUUGACAACCGGGCAGAAGGCUUCUGACAGAGCCGAGCUGGCAGGUGAGGAGCAAGGUAGCAUUGUGCUCGUUAUGGGCCGUUCUCAGCAUCCUGGGCUGUUCCUGGGACCCUCUGCAGAUCCAUGACUUUGUGCAACACACUGAGACGUCGUAUCCGCGCAGGGUAGAGGCUGAGGCUUGGGUAGAGGAGCACAGCUCGCAGUGGAGACCUGAGCCCUGAGUGCGGCUGUCCCAGCACAGGUAACUGCAGUACCUCCACGUGCACCAGCGGGCAUCGCUCUGCUUUAGUUGCUCAGUGUUGUGAAAGUGUGAAAGUCUAAGCCCUCAAAGCCUUGGUUGUCUUAUGAGUCAACUCAAGCUGGGAUUUUGGUGGCAGGCUUAAAAGGAUGCUGUUGUCUGGAAAUAUCUGUCUCAUCUGGAAACUGUCGUUCAUGCUUUGGUUAGUACUGGUGCACCAGAUUGGUGUGCUCCAUACCUGGGUGUAUCUUUCUGUAUUUCUGCAAUGAAACUAUGCAUUUAGCUUCACAAGGGGGACAAAUCUCAAAGGCUGAAAUUUGCAUGGAUUAGCUGUCAUUAAUUUUCUUUAUGAAAAGUCUGUUAGGACCGUUGUAAAAAUGGGGUUCUAUUAGUUUAAGAGAAGGUAAAAGAAAUGACAAGGGUGUGGCAAGGAAAUAAAGUAGGAGCUUUAGGAAGUAUACCUAUGGCUUUGGAUUUCCUGACAGAGACAGGAGUUCUUUUUUCAUAUUUGAUCCUGGCAGUGUUUCUUUAAAAGUUGUGGGUGCGCUUCAUGUCAUCGUUUCACAUCAGUUUGUUUGAUUUACUGUUGUUUUGAUUCUCCAUCCUAGGAAAUAUUCCACUUGAUACAGAGUGCAGUGCAAAUUGCAGAGGGCCAAACACCCCACUAGCGUGGUUCCUUAGUCAGAGCAGCUGCAAGAGGAACGGAGCUGACCCAGCAUCUGUGUUCAGAACUAAUGUGAAAGAUAGUUUAAAUUUACUGAAGUUUUGGUGGGUGUUUUCACCCGCUUGCAAUUCUUUGUAGAGGAACUAAGAAUUGCAGAAACAAAGCUUGCCUUUUUUGUGGGGCUUGUGUGUGGAUUGGUGGUGUUUUGUUUGCUUAUUUCAUUUUGGAGUUUUUUUCUCCAUAAACUAAGACUGAAACUGACAAAAUUGAAGGGAUAAAACAGAUUUUCAGGCAGGCAGAUAGAACUUGCUACCUGUUCUCCACACCUUGAUACUUGCAUUUCAGGACUGGAAGGAAGAGGACAAGCCCUGUUUCUGAGCUCGUGUUGUCCCUGGCAAAGUAGUAAGUGAGGGCACUGUAAGAAGUGGAUGUAGGACAAGUGAUGAACCAUUCUCACUGUUGACAUCAUGCUGUGAUUCAUCAGUGCUCCUCUUUGGCUGUAUCCUGUACUCCAGACCUGUGUGGCCUGCCACUCAUACUGUGUGCUGUUUGUGGCUGGCUGAAGGAGGAAGAAAUUCUGCCUUAGUGUGGUAACGUGCAGCUUCUUUGUGCAGAGGGAACAUCAGAUUCUGGAGAUGGGGAAUACUAACGUGAAUCCACAAGAAUGGUAUUUGCAUAAGCUUCUGCUGUCCUCAAUAAGUAGAUCAGGGUUGAGGGGACAGAUCUAAUAUGGAAAAUAUGGAAUUCAUUUUCAGACUUUCAAGCUAGUCCCAUAGAUAGGGCUUAGGAAGAGAAGUAGUCUUAAAAGAUAUGGAAAUGUGCCUUCAAAAUGACCUUUCAAAGAUCAACAAUAUUAUUCUUUGUGUCUGUGGCAUCCAAAUUUAAUGAAAUGUAAAGCAGAAGGAGUUGGGAGGAUUUGGUCCAAGUGAAAACAGAAUGAGCGUAGGAUUGGCAGAUGGGAGGAACAUUAGCCCACUCUUUGGUGGAGUUACUGCUUCUCCUGUUGUUGCCUGCAGAAGGGACUCGACAGAAGAUAGUCAGUGGGAGGAGAGUGUAGACUGCUUGUCCUAUUUGAAUGUCACUGGAUUUUUCUGCUUGGGGAUGAAUGUCCAGUGGUCCAGUGGGUCAAGUCCUGAAUGCUGGUAUCUAAUGUACAUCCAAAGCAAGUCCAUCAACUUCGUAACAUCUGCAGUAAGGAACAAGUGGCUUUUUUUUCUGAACAGAGGGGAGGAAUGAACAGCUGUAGCUUAGGAUGCUGAAUUUCUUGGCAUACUUUUUUUUUUUGAGAUUUAUGACUCUUAUUCUCUUUUGAAAAUGUAGUGGAGCAAUUGCUGAUCCAUGCAUGUAUGCAUGAGAAAAUGCCAGUGGAGGAGUAAUACAUAUGGAAAUCUGUCAUAGAGAUAUGACAAACUGGCCACCUGCUCUUAGAUGAUGAAAUAAUUUACAAAAAUAUCUGCUGGAGUAAUGACUGAGGGAAGAGGUGGGGGCAGGUUUGAGGGAAGUUAGCAAUAUUUAUCUAUUUGAGUAGUUUGCUGUAGUACUUACUGCUGACCCUCUUGCCAGCUUUACUGCUUCAGAAACAAGUGGUAGUUAAUGCAGUAGCAGGUGCAUAGGGCUUCAUCAGAGGGAGCAGUCCAUUGGACAGAGCUAGCAGAAGAGAUGGGAAACCUGUCUCCCAGUGUUUUCUCUGUCACAGACUGCCUUUGUAUUGAUAGAGUAAGAUCUGAAAUUCUUGCAGCUAAAUACCUGUGACUGUGCAUCUGCCUCUCAUUAAGUUUGCUGCUUGAUGCAGUGACUGGUGUUAAGCUUCUGAAAACCAAGCAUUUACUCCAAGUUUUCAUAGUCUACAGCAAAAAAAAAAAAAGUUAGAACUGGGUCAGCUUGCAGCCAGUUUCCCAUAAACCUGCUCCCUGGGUAUUGGUUAACCUUGCUAAGUGUGUCCUAGGGUCAAAUCUAUUGCUUUUGUAUGUGAAAGUAAGUCUUGGUUUGCAUUGUGAUUUACUGGAGUGUAAAUAAAGCAAGAUCUUUCACUUAGAAGCUCACUCAUCGGCAUAUAUUAGUAACACUCAUCAGUUUCUGACUGGAACUGUGAUGGCAUAAUUACUGUAAAAGGGUAACACAUUCAGAACUACCUGUGUGACUUUGGGAGUUGAUUCCUGAGAGGCUUAGUCAUUAUUUUAAAUAGGAGUCAGCUUUCUAAGCUACACAUAUUCCUGAAAGUUUUAAGAAAGGACUUCUGUUAUCAUGUUUUUAAAAUGUCAAUUUCUAGGACAGGUAUGGCAGCUCUUCCACUCUACUUACUUCAGAUAUUAACUGAGGAGGUUGAAGAAAGAUUAGAAAAACACUGUGGGAAAGUAGAUUCUCAUGGGUAAUCAAUCUUACUAGAGAAAUCCAAGUUGUGAAAAUGUCUAUUCUUCCAUCACCUGACAGCAGGAUGGAUAUGCACGUAUAUAUUUUCUGCUGUGUCGAUUAGGAAUGUGAGGAGGAUGGCAGAUACCUUGGCCAUGGCUGUAGACAGAGUAAACCAUGUGUUUCUUGAGACACUGUUUGGGGCACUGAAUUCAAACUGCAUGUGAUUGGAGCAGUUUGAGUCACCAGGCCAAACACAGUUAUCAGAAGAAACAGAUAAACUAAGAAAAUAGUCUUCUGUACUCUGGCAUAUGUGUUUGCAUAGUUAAGACUUUAAGAUUGAAGGCAAAUUAGGUUUCUUUUUAGCAGUGGUAGAUUACUUUUAGUACUUGUGGUGCAAUUUUUUAAAGUAUUCCUGGAACGUUAAUAAUGUAAAGCAUCUUUAUUUUGCAACAUACCUAUGGGAUGGACACCUACUACUUAUCUUGCUUCUACAGCUAGGGAACUGAAGUGUUCAAUAAAGCAAGACACUGCACACGGAAUUGUGCAAGGAGGACUGCAGCAGGACAGGCAGGAGGGCACUGAGACUGCCUCUCAAUACUAGUGAAAACCAUCAAGCUCUGCUCCGUAGUCUAUCCAUUAGAUUCUUCCUCAAUGCUUCUAAGUUCUUUUAGUUUAUUUCCUCACCUGGAAAAGGUGAGAUUGGGCUCUUCCAAGGAGGAAAUGUCAAGCCUGGUGAGGAGGGGACAAGACAGAUUCAUGAUGAUGUAAGUCUGAGGAAAGGUGAGGAAUAUCCUCUAGCUAGAUAUGCUGCCAUUGCUUCUUUAGCAAACCUGGCUUCCCUGAUGCUGGCACAUCACAGCUAUUGAAACUCUUUUCCUCUGGGCAAAUACCUGCUUUUCCUGGGCCCAGAGCCAACUCUGCUGAUGUCCCAUUUAGGAUAGAGCUGAUGUAAGUGGCUGGACUGGUCACAGAGCCUUCUGCCCAGUCGCUGGCUCCAGAGCUUCUGCCACUGUGCCAUGUCCUUGGACUCUCUGGCUGCCUUCUUUCUGACUUGGCCUUGCGAGGGGCACCAAAGUGUUUUGUUUGGGGAAAAGAAACUUGUAAAGUUGGCAGAAGGAAUUCUAUUUUAGGGGAGUUGCAUGGUGAACAGUAACAAUGAGUUUUAUUUCUCAGAAUGUAUCUACAUUUAUAGGUUGCUAUAUUUAAAAAGAAGAAAAAAAAAUGAGUCAUGGGGAGCUAUGCUAAUGCUUUUGUGAGGCUGAAGGCAACAGGAGUUAAGUAACAGUUUUGUGAAACAUCUAGAGGAUUUAUGGAGCAAGCUGAAGUCAGCUGUAAGCCAUGCAGUGCUUUGUUCAGGGCCCCUCUUUGUACUUGGUGCUGGUUACAGUGAAGUGCUCUCCUAGAACCCUGGAAGUGCUCAGUGCUGUCAGCUUCCCUGCCCUUGAAUGUGAGUUGCAGAGCUGGGGCUGGAGCUACUGAGCUGCUCCUCCAAUGGAAAGUCACAGUGACAGUCAGUGGUGGCAUGUCUCUGUGUGUCUCAGGCCACACUAAGCUAGUAGCAAAUAACCAUUAAAGUGAAAUCUUCCAAUUUAGUAGGCUUUUUGCUUCACUUUUUAAAAAUCUGUCAUAUCAGUUCCCAAAUGUUUAAGUUUCUUGCAGUACUUUUAAGAAGAGUUAAAGCUUUUGAAUAGGCAUCUGUUAUUUGCAUUGCUGGAAGCAGUGGUGAAUCUGAUAAGCAGUAGCUGAAUAAAGGCCCAUCCAAGCCAACUUAAAAGAAUGUUAAUGCACACUGGUGCAGUGGGAACCCUAUUUUUUUUUUUAAUUGUCCUUCCCACUUCAAGGACUACCAAAGCACCCACUGCUACUGUCUCUAGGCACCCACAGAUGCUAAAAGUAUUUAGGGACUUUAUGAUUACACGUUGUGAGUCUGUGAUAAAAGCUCCUUUAGCAGUUGGUUGCUGUGGCACAGAAAGUCUCUAUAAAGGUAGAUAAUGGGGGGGGAAAAAAAGUGACUGGAUCCAGAUGGAAUUUAAGCUUAGGCAUUCUUAUCGGUCUGUCAUCUUUACUUAACAUAUCCUAAUAACUCACAAGCGGUCUUCAUAGGCAGCUGGUAAUUCAGUAAAGAUUGUGAUUUUCAGAAAACAUACAACUGAUGUCUUGUGUCAUGCUUGGUAUGGAUGUACUAACGCUACCAGUGUAAGUAUAAGACUUGCCGGGUGGGGAACAUCUACGUAUAAAGUAUGACUGCUGUGGAAGGUGCUUCAGUAGUAAGUGCUCAAUCCCAGGAAUAGUCAUUAAGAACCUGUGAUUGACCAGAGAGGGGAAAUCAUCACAGGAAUCCCUUUGGCUCAGGAAUGGUUGCUGCAAAGCUGCAGGCUGAAAGUUGGUUUGAUGGCUGCUGGCUUUAAGUGGAAACAAGUUCACAGUGUAGAGGUGAGGCAGAUAUGCCCCAGUGCUCUGGGAAAACCCCAAGCUGUAGAAAAUUGCUUUUGUGCAACAGCAGAGCAACUUUACUGCUGAGAUUUUUAGCUCUCACAGUUAGGUACCUCUGUAACCACGUAUCUGUAUCUGAUCUAAUCACCUUUGGAAAGCAUAACAGGUAUCACCUGAGCCCAUCCUGUGCACACCGUGCUUCGCUUUCUCCUGGUUGGUAGCUGGUGAGGAAUUGUAGUGUGAGAUUAAGGCUCUGCAGAGCCACAGUUAUGAGGUAGACUUGGAUGGUACUUGCCGUUCUCCCAUCAGAAAAUACUUUGUAGUGCAGGGGCAGAAUGCUGGGAGGGGCUCGUUUCUUUCAUGUGCUGUGGAUGCUCUUAAAUUUAAUCUGCCAACAGGCAUCAGUGCAGACACGAGGAGCUGAACAGACCAUUUGCUUUUCAGGAGUUUGGUGUGGUCUGAGAAGAUGCAAGGCAGAGCCCUUCACCUGAACCUCCAGUAUCAUUUCCUUUGUGCUCCACAUGGCACAGAUGCUGGUAUGGUGCUGCAGCACCUCUGCUCUGCAGGAACAUUUUGUUUUGAAAUUACCUCUUGAAUGUUAAGGCCAUCAUCAGAAGUUUGGCUUUGACUGAAUGCAUGUGAAAUGUGCAAAGUCUCUCCUGUUAAUCAGUGAGAUGUGCUCAGGGGAUGUGUAAUUUUUUCUUUUUUUUUUUUUUACAGUAUAGCAAGUCUAUCUAAUUAAGCAUCUGGGAUUUGAAUUAUUAGAUAACAGAACAGUCUCAAUCUACUUCUGUGUUAGUAAAGAUCUCCAGCAACCCAUUUUUUUUUUUUCCCUUGGAUUUUUCAAUUACAGACUUCAGAAACUCUUUGAACCUCAGGAGGGUGACUUAUUGGGUCCAGAAGAGCUGAGUAAUACAAUUCUUUUUCUAAGGCCCCCCGAGCACAGCAAGUCACUCUCUGUUGUUUACAUAGCAGCCUCGCAAGGGUAUGGGAAUAAGCGUUAAGUUGUCAAAGCAAAGGAGAAAAAUCACAUUUUCGGGUGUAGGCUGUAUGGAAGCAUGUGUUUGGAUUUGUGCUGUGUCAGAAUAAAUCCUUUUGCUGCGCAAAACACUGGGAGCAGCUCUCUGGCUCAGAGGUCAGAUUGCCUCAUCUGUUUCUGGAUUGGGAGGGGAAAGUAGCAAUAUUGGGAGUUGGUGUGGGCUUGGGAAGGUUGGUGAAGAGGUGGAAGGGUGUAGCUUGAGAGGUGGGAAGGGACAAGGCUGAACCAACGUGGCAGAGGGCUCCUGAGCACCAGCAGUGGGUGGAGGUCUGCUGCUUUAGACAGUGCACCCCAAGCACUGCUGACCCCAGGCUGACCGAUGCACUUCAAAAGCUUUGUGCAUUAUGGGCGGGGGGGACACAGUGGGUGGAACUGAUGACCCAAAAUAAAAUUUCCCCUUCCUAAGACUGGGUGUGUACCAAGCUGGUGUGGUAAAAGAGUAUGAACCAAAAAUGCUGAGAGAUGCAGUGGUUAAACUGAAACAUGCUGUGGCAGGAUGAAAGUAAUCGUGUCCCUUACCAGCCCUUAAACGCUUUGGAGCUUUUUUUUUUUUCCAAGUGGCUGCAAUCCAUGCUGCCUCUAUCUAGGCUUCUCUGCUUUUAGUAGAAUUUUAUAUGCAGAAACAUACCAAGACACCAACAGGGCAACCCAUCUUGUGUUACGUUAUAGCUCACAGGGUCAAGAUAAAAUGUAAGGAUACCUCCAGUUAUCUUUCUGUUCAAGUUUUGGUUUUGUCCUGUAUUUACUUAUUCUUUUUUUCUCCAGUCUCUUUGAAUGUACCAAAGCAUAUGAGAAGGACCCCUGUGUGGAAUGAGUGACUCUUAGGGAGAAUCCUGCAGCUCUAGAAGGGCCAAAACCCAAUCUCAUUCUGUCUGUGAGCCUGAUAUUUAAAACAUGACGUACUUGAGCUGCCAAGGCUAAGGCUGGCAUUCUCUUGCCUUGGUGUUUAAA